GAUGAACGCUGGCGGCGUGCCUAAUACAUGCAAGUCGAGCGAACGGACGAGAAGCUUGCUUCUCUAAUGUUAGCGGCGGACGGGUGAGUAACACGUGGAUAACCUACCUAUAAGACUGGGAUAACUUCGGGAAACCGUAGCUAAUACCGGAGAAUAUUUUGAACCGCAUGGUUCAAAAGUGAAAGACGGUCUUGCUGUCACUUAUAGAUGGAUCCCGGCUGCAUUAGAUAGUUGGUAAGGUAACGGCUUACCAAGGCAACGAUGCAUAGCCGACCGGAGAGAGGGAUAGGCGGCCUGAGAACGGGGACGGGGACAAGAGUCCUGAGGGAGGCAGCAGUAUGGAAUCUUCCGCAAUGGGCGAAAGCAUGACGGAGCGGCGCCGAGUGAGUGAUGAAGGUCUUCGGAUCGUAAAACUCGGUUAUGAGGGAAGAACAGAUGUGGAAGGAAAUGAGGACAGAGUGACGGUAACGAAUAAAAAAGCAACGGCUAACUACGUG
rnacentral:rRNA from 1 species